rnacentral:rRNA from 1 species
GACGAACGCUGGCGGCGUGCCUAAUACAUGCAAGUAGGACGCAGUUGCGCACGGGUGAGUAACGCGUCGGUAACUGCCUAUUAGAGGGGGAUAACUCUUGGAAACGAUAGCUAAUACCGCAUACUAGUAGAUGGACCUGCGUUGUAUUAGCUAGUAGGUAGGGUAAUGGCCUACCUAGGCGACGAUACAUAACCGACCUGGGGGGGUGAUCGGCCCACACGGGAAUGGGACACGGGCCAGACCCCUAAGGGAGGCAGCAGUAGGGAAUUUUCGGCAAUGGGGGGAAACCUGGCCGAGCAACGGCGCGGGAGUGGAGAAGGUUUUCGGAUCGUAAAGGUCUGUUGUUAAGGAAGCGGUACUUAACCAGAAAGGGACGGCUAACUACGUGCCAGCAGCCGCGGUAAUUC